rnacentral:rRNA from 1 species
AUGGAUAAGAAGAAAGAUGUCGAUGACAUAGAACCUGGACCGGCUCCUUCUCGGCCUGUCGACAGAUUUGGCUUUAUAAAGACGGAACAAAGCAACUCUCCGGAGGGGAUUCUGAAAAGCAGACCCACACAUGAACGCGGAAGGGAGGAAAGGAGGAUAAGAAAGUGGAGGAAGAUGAUAGGUACUGGUGGUAGUGACUGGAGGCAUUAUGUUAGAAGGAAUCCUCAUGUGGUUAAGAGAAGAAUAAGGAAAGGAAUUCCUGAUUGUCUCAGAGGACUUGUUUGGCAGUUGAUUUCAGGCAGCAGGGACCUCUUGCUAAUGAAUCCUGGGGUUUAUGAGACUUUGGUCAUAUACGAGACAUCAACAUCAGAAUUGGAAAUUAUUCGUGAUAUAUCGCGUACAUUUCCUUCGCAUAUUUUCUUCCAACAGAGACAUGGCCCAGGUCAAAGAUCUCUGUAUAAUGUUUUAAAAGCAUACUCUGUUUAUGAUAGGGAUGUUGGAUAUGUGCAGGGAAUGGGAUUUAUAGCUGGGUUGCUGCUUCUUUAUAUGAGCGAGGAGGAUGCAUUUUGGUUAAUAGUAGCUUUGCUAAAAGGAGCUGUCCAUGCUCCAAUGGAAGGCUUGUAUCAGGCCGGUUUGCCGCUUGUGCAACAAUAUCUGUUUCAAUUCGAGAAAUUAGUUCAAGAGCACAUGCCAAAGUUGGGACAGCAUUUUAUUGAAGAAAUGAUAAAUCCAAGCAUGUAUGCAAGCCAAUGGUUUAUCACAGUUUUCUCGUAUUCCUUCCCAUUCCAUAUGACUCUUAGAGUUUGGGAUGUCUUCCUGUAUGAGGGUAUUAAGGUUGUUUUCCAAGUUGGAUUGGGUCUAUUGAGAUUCUGCCAUGAUGACCUGGUCAAAUUGCCUUUUGAGGAACUUCUGCAUUCCUUGAGAUAUUUUCCAGAUGAGGCAACUGAUCCUGAUACAUUAUUUCCACUUGCCUUCUCAUUUAAGGUGAACAGUAGUCUCGAGGAGCUCGAGAAAGAGUACCGGAAAAGAUUGGAUGGACCCAAUGCAAGCUCAAGUAGCAAUAAGCGGCUUCUGCCCCUGAAAUCGAAAACGAUGAGCAGGGCUGUUAGCCAGGUCUUGUCCAUCUCAAAUGUUGGUAAAAAGUAA